UCCCUAUGGAGUCCCCAUGUGUCCCUAAGGCGUCCUCAUGUGUCCCUAAGGAGUCACCAUGUGUCUCUAUGGAGUCCUCAUGUGUCCCUAUGGCGUCCUCAUGUGUCCCUACAGAGUCCCCAUGUGUCCCUAUGGCGUCCCCAUGUGUCCCUAUGGCAUCCUCAUGUGUCCCUAUGGAGUCCCCAUGUGUCCCUGUGGAGUCCCCAUGUGUCCCUGUGAAUCCCCAUGUGUCCCUAUGGCAUCCCCAUGUGUCCCUAUGGCAUUCCCAUGUGUCCCUACAGAGUCCCCAUGUGUCCCUAUGGCGUCCCCAUGUGUCCCUAUGGCAUCCUCAUGUGUCCCUAUGGCUCCCCAUGUGUCCCUAUGGCGUCCCCAUGUGUCCCUAUGGCAUCCUCAUGUGUCCCUAUGGCUCCCCAUGUGUCCCUAUGGCGUCCCCAUGUGUCCCUAUGGCAUCCUCAUGUGUCCCUAUGGCUCCCCAUGUGUCCCUAUGGCGUCCCCAUGUGUCCCUAUGGCAUCCUCAUGUGUCCCUAUGGCGUCCCCAUGUGUCCCUAUGGCAUCCUCAUGUGUCCCUAUGGAGUCCCCAUGUGUCCCUAUGUCAUCCCCAUGUCUC